rnacentral:rRNA from 1 species
GGAGUUUGGACCGUGUCUCAGUUCCAAUGUGGGGGACCUUCCUCUCAGAACCCCUACUGAUCGUAGGCUUGGUGGGCCGUUACCCCGCCAACAACCUAAUCAGACGCAUCCCCAUCCUAUAGCGGUAAACCUUUGGUAUUCUUCAGAUGUCUUCUAAAUACAACAUAGAGCAUUAAUCCGACUUUCGCCGGGCUAUUCUCUACUAUAGGGAAGGUUGGAUACGCGUUACUCACCCGUGCGCCGGUCGCCAUCAGAGACAGCAAGCUGUCUCCAUGUUGCCCCUCGACUUGCAUGUGUUAAGCCUGUAGCUAGCGUUCAUC